CCUGCCAGUUGUCAUAUGCUUGUUUCAAGGACUAAGCCAUGCAAAUGUCAGAGUACUCGUGUCUUGAUACGAGGGGUCUGUGUACGGCUCAUUAAACGGUUUAUAGUCUCCCCAACAAAGAGGGCAGUCAUGCCUUCCCAUGGGAUAUCUUUGCGAAACGCAAAGCUAAUACCUGUAAGAAAAAUCGCUUGCUAUCAAACACCAAGGGGCAACCUGGAAGUGUGGCGGGCGAUGUGUUUGGCCGAAACAAAAAUAGAUGCUCGAACAGAGCAGCUGUAAUUGUUGACGCAGGCCAAAGUCGCGAAAGCACAAUUCUGUGCGACGUUGGACGAAUUUACCACCUAUCAGGUAUUGAAGGUAGUGUAGUGGACUACCUUGCCUCUGACGGGUAACGGGGGAUUGGGGUUCGAUUCCGGAGAGGGUGCCUGAGAGACGGCAACCAUGACUAUGGUCAGCAGCAGGCGCGCAAAUUGCCCAAUGCCAACAAAUGGCGAGGCAGCGACGAAAAAUAGCAUUCCCUUAGGGGAUUUGCAAUGGACUGUACCCAAACAAACUGAUGAUUAUCUAUUGGAGGGCAAGUCUGGUGCCAGCAGCCGCGGUAAUUCCAGCUCCAAGAGCGUAUAUAAAUGUUGUUGCGGUUAAAAAGCCCGUAGUUGGAUUUGAGGAUGCUUCUUGUAUUCGACAUGUUGAAGGGGUUUCCUGGAUAUGUGUCGAGUACGCUUCGGAGGUAUCCUGACAUAUGCGGGAUUGUCCACUGGCCGAAGCUUCCUUAACUGGUAGCUGAAGCAACUUCGGAGCUUCCACACUCCAUAAGGUGCGCCCGCAGACGUCACUGUGAGUAAAACAGAGUGUUUCGCCGGGAUCAAUAGGAGCACAGGGGGUCAUGAGUACUGGAGGGCUAGAGGUGAAAUUCCAAGACCCCUCCAAGACUGACAUCGGCGAAAGCACUCGACUAUUGUGCUUUCAUUAAUCAAGGACGAGAGAUAGGGGAUCGAAGAGGAUUAGACACCCUCGUAGUCCUUUCUGUAAAUUCUGCAGACUUGGGAUCGGUCAGCGUUCUACUUUUUGACCUGAUCGGCACCUUCCUCCGACAUCGAGAAAUCAAAGUCUUUGUGUUCCGGGGGGAGUACAUUCGCAAGGCUGAAACUUAAAGGAAUUGACGGAGAACCACCACCAGUCGUGGAGUGUGUGGCUUAAUUCGACCCAACACGGGAAAUUUUACCAGGCCAGGACGUGGCGAGGAUUGCCAGAUUGAAAGCUCUUGCAUGAUUCCGCGGAGGGUAGUGCAUGGCCGCUUCUGGUUGGUGAAGUGAUUUGUCUGCUUAAUUGCGAUAACGAACGAGAUCUCUGCCAAUUACUAGACAGCGCGUUCACUUUUCAGUCGGAAGCUUGGGUGUGGGUUCGCCCAUCCUCCAGCUCUCCGGUUGAGAACGAGCUGCUUUACUUAUUGGGAUUAUGCAUUUUUCAACUGCAUUGAAACGAGAGCCCAAAGCAGGUCUGUGAUGCUCCUAAAUGUUCUGGGCUGCACGCGCACUACACUGAUUCAGCCAACGAGCAUCUGCCUUCAUGGCAGCCUGGGCCGAACGGUCUGGGGAAUCUUUUGAGCCUGAGUCGUGAUGGGGAUUGAUGAUUGCAAUUAUUCUCCAUGAACAAGGAAUGUCUUGUAGGCGCGUUUCAUCAGAACGCACCGAAUACGUCCCUGGUUCUUGUACACACCGCCCGUCGUUGCCUGUGAUGG
rnacentral:rRNA from 1 species